GUGGGGAAUAUUGGACAAUGGGGGGAACCCUGAUCCAGCCAUGCCGCGUGUGUGAAGAAGGCCUUUUGGUUGUAAAGCACUUUAAGCGAGGAGGAGGCUACCGAGAUUAAUACUCUUGGAUAGUGGACGUUACUCGCAGAAUAAGCACCGGCUAACUCUGUGCCAGCAGCCGCGGUAAUACAGAGGGUGCAAGCGUUAAUCGGAUUUACUGGGCGUACAGCGCGCGUAGGUGGCCAAUUAAGUCAAAUGUGAAAUCCCCGAGCUUAACUUGGGAAUUGCAUUCGAUACUGGUUGGCUAGAGUAUGGGAGAGGAUGGUAGAAUUCCAGGUGUAGCGGUGAAAUGCGUAGAGAUCUGGAGGAAUACCGAUGGCGAAGGCAGCCAUCUGGCCUAAUACUGACACUGAGGUGCGAAAGCAUGGGGAGCAAACAGGAUUAGAAACCCGGGUAGUCC
rnacentral:rRNA from 1 species